AAGAGUCGCUGUGUUUCCUGAAGCCCACAGCUCAGGGCAGCAUUAGUAUUCGCAGUGGGAGCUUGACUGUGGGGUGAAAGCAGCAUCACUCUUGCCCUGGCUCGUGCUUGGGAAGAUCUUCUGAGCCCGGGUCUGGAGGAUUUCUUACCACAUCACGCUGACUGCUGCAUUUAUUUGUGGAAGGGUACCCCGGCUUUUGCCCAGCUUUUCAAAAACCCCCGGCCCGGGAGCGUACGAGGCUUCCAGGCAGUU